GGGUUAGUGGCCGACGGGUGAGUAACACGUGGGAACGUGCCUUUAGGUUCGGAAUAGCUCCUGGAAACGGGUGGUAAUGCCGAAUGUGCCCUUCGGGGGAAAGAUUUAUCGCCUUUAGAGCGGCCCGCGUCUGAUUAGCUAGUUGGUGAGGUAAAGGCUCACCAAGGCUACGAUCAGUAGCUGGUCUGAGAGGAUGACCAGCCACAUUGGGACUGAGACACGGCCCAAACUCCUACGGGAGGCAGCAGUGGGGAAUCUUGCGCAAUGGGCGAAAGCCUGACGCAGCCAUGCCGCGUGAAUGAUGAAGGUCUUAGGAUUGUAAAAUUCUUUCAGUAGGGACGAUAAUGACGGUACCUACAGAAGAAGCCCCGGCUAACUUCGUGCCAGCAGCCGCGGUAAUACGAAGGGGGCUAGCGUUGCUCGGAAUUACUGGGCGUAAAGGGAGCGUAGGCGGACAUUUAAGUCAGGGGUGAAAUCCCAGAGCUCAACUCUGGAACUGCCUUUGAUACUGGGUGUCUUGAGUGUGAUAGAGGUAUGUGGAACUCCGAGUGUAAAGGUGAAAUUCGUAGAUAUUCGGAAGAACACCAGUGGCGAAGGCGACAUACUGGAUCAUUACUGACGCUGAGGCUCGAAAAGCGUGGGAGCAAACAGGAUUAGAUACCCUGGUAGUCC
rnacentral:rRNA from 1 species